UACAGAGGGUGCGAGCGUUAAUCGGAAUUACUGGGCGUAAAGGGUGCGUAGGUGGCGAUAUAAGUUAGGUGUGAAAGUCCUGGGCUUAACCUGGGGACUGCGCCUGAUACUGUAUGGCUAGAGUACUGUAGAGGAAGGUGGAAUUUCCGGUGUAGCGGUGAAAUGCGUAGAUAUCGGAAGGAACAUCGGUGGCGAAGGCGGCCUUCUGGACAGAUACUGACACUGAGGCACGAAAGCAUGGGGAGCAAACAGG
rnacentral:misc_RNA from 1 species